rnacentral:tRNA from 1 species
GGGGAUUUAGCUCAGUGGCAGAGCGCUUGCCUAGCAAGCUCAAGGCCCUGGGUUCAGUCCCCA